rnacentral:tRNA from 1 species
AGGGGUAUAGUUCAGUGGUGAAGCACAUGCUUAGCAUGUGCUGGGUCCUGGGUUCAAUUCCUAGUACCUCCU